UACGUAGGGUGCGAGCGUUGUCCGGAAUUAUUGGGCGUAAAGAGCUCGUAGGCGGCUUGUCACGUCGGGUGUGAAAGCCCGGGGCUUAACCCCGGGUCUGCAUUCGAUACGGGCUGGCUAGAGUGUGGUAGGGGAGAUCGGAAUUCCUGGUGUAGCGGUGAAAUGCGCAGAUAUCAGGAGGAACACCGGUGGCGAAGGCGGAUCUCUGGGCCAUUACUGACGCUGAGGAGCGAAAGCAUGGGGAGCGAACAGG
rnacentral:rRNA from 1 species